GCUAAACUAUGCAGCAGAUUGGCCCUCCAGGGAAAGAUUUGAGGAACCCUGCAGUAAACGCUAAAGUUUUCUCAACUUUUAUCAGUAUGUCAGAGCUCAACACAGAGCUUUACGAAACCUUCUUCCUUUACAUCCUCACAGUCACCUUUGAAAUGAUUCGAUUGGCAGUAUUCUCUGACGCAGCAUAAACUGUAGUGUAUACAUGGCCUUAAACCUUGGAUCAAUGAAUGAGACUCUGAGGAGACGGUCCUGAAGUUUCUGAAGUACCUUCACGGGGUGUUCUUGAGGUCAAGGAACAGAAAAACAUUGUGGACCACAUAUUUUGCAUUGGAUGUUAAGUGCUGUGAGGAACAGUUCCAGUUGCAUUUCCACUUGAGUAUAGUUCAUGUCACCGCCAACUCUUGCGUCACUGAGGAGUAGCUCAUCCAAAAAAAAAAAAAAAAAGAUUUUGCUGAAAAUACUGGCCAUGAAAAUAUUGGGGUGUUUUUAUCAGCUGUUUGGAGUUCUGACGGCACCCAUUCACUGCAGAGGAUCUACUGAUUUCUCAAGACCACGAUUAUUGAAUGCAUCUAUCUUUUUCUCGUUCGACGGCUGGACAGAGACGGAUCGCACCGGCGCAGAGAUUUAAGGACUUCCCUGCACCAUCAGAUAGACGCUGACAGUCCUUAAUUCUUCUAAAUGCUAACUGCCCUUUGUCCCGGGUACACAGCAGACAGACAUGUGCACACACACACAUAAAGUACCCAGUGACACAAACUUGAAAGUGCAAUGUCUAUUCCUUCUGAAUGAACAAUGUGUGCAUUGUGGAACAGAAGCAUGUGGAUUGUGAGACACAAAGUCACAUGCACAGAGAGACGGAGUGUGUGGACUAUGAAUGAGAACAGGUUGUCACAGUCAGUGUCGUUCACAGCUUUAUUUCGAAAGGGCUUCAUCAUGCGUUUAAUUUAAAUUUGACACAUAGAUUUUCAAGGUAGCAUUUUUGUAGACAAAAGUCUUCAACCUCCAUUUAAAUUCUGAUCAAACAUACAGAGAUUCAUAAUUUUGACACAUUGCCCUUUUCCUUUAAAGGGAUAGUUCACCCAAAAAUUUUAUUCUGUCAUCAUUUUUUUCAUCCAAACCUGGAUGAUUUUCUGUCUUCUGUGGCAUGCAAGACAACACAUUUUGAAGAAUGUUGGUAACCAAACCAAUGUGUGGAAAACAAAACAAAUCACUGACAUAUUUCUCAAAAUAUAUUAUUUUGUGUUCCACAACAGAAAGAGUGUCAGUUUUGGUAUGACAUGAGGAAAUUAUUUUUUGGUGAACAACUCCUACUACAACAAGUCCACGAGUUUGUGGAAAACCAGAUUAUCAUAUUCACCAACAUGAUUUAAAAUGAUCCAAAUACUUUUUUGUUUGUUUGUUUAUUUCAGAUGUUUUUGUGCAAUCUGCUUAUGUAAAAGUGUUUUCUUAUGAGAUUAGGAUGGUCUGCACAAAAGCACAUGUCAGUGUCACAAUUUUGCCUAUUUGGCUUGUGAACUAAAACCUGAAUAUCUCUUCUUGUAAACUUUGUGUAUUUCCAGGUUUUAAUGAUGGGAACCCAAGAUGUCCUAAUGCACUUUCAGGUUUUAGACCCCAGUGCACAAACACCAGCAAUAUUUCCUAAAAGAUUAAGAAGAUAGGCAGAUCUUUGCAGUUCGUUACAGCUGUUAGUAAAAGUCCUUUUAGGAGGAGAGUUCAUUUUCACUUUACUAAACAACAUAGAGGAGAAAAAGCUAAGAUAAGGACCACAUUUCUUUACAUAAUCACCUUCAUGAAAAUUUCAGCUAAAGUGAAUAAUUCAUUUACCUAGCUAUAUUCAAAAUCACGUUCAACAGCAUUAGAGUCAGCUCAGAUCAGUGGUGCCAUCGCUAUAUAAGAAGUGAGGUAGAAGCAACUUAAUAUAUAAAUCAUUUAUUCAGAGUGACACAUAUUACACAUUCCUCCUCAAUUUUACUUGCAUAGAUGGAUAGAUAUACAGACAGACAGACAGAAAAAAGAAUGGUGUACAAUUUUCAUUUGCCAUUAGUAGCCAUUUAUGCUUUCUCUUAAAAUACUGUUUAGUUUCCUGAGAUGCAAAAACCCAAUUAACCAUAUUUUUAUUUAUUUAAUUUUUAUGCAUUUAUUUAUUUUUUGGGAGGAAGGGUUCAGAUUGGAGCUUUAAGACCAAUUAAAUAUGGUUUUCCUUUUCACAAUGAUCUGGACACUUUAGUAAACACCACAACGACCGUUCCACAGAAUUAAUGAUAUGCUUACAAGUUUCCCAGAAACCUUUUAUUAUGGUUGUGAUUAUUAGAUGAAAAUCGUUUACGUGUGACUGUGGGUGUAACAGAGCCUAUACUACUGUACAUAA